GAUGAACGCUGGCGGCGUGCUUAACACAUGCAAGUCGAACGAAGUUGUUUAUGACUGAGUGGCGGACGGGUGAGUAACGCGUGGGUAACCUGCCUCAUACAGGGGGAUAGCAGCUGGAAACGGCUGGUAAUACCGCAUAAGCGCACGGUAUCGCAUGAUACAGUGUAGAAAAACUCCGGUGGUAUGAGAUGGACCCGCGUCUGAUUAGCUGGUUGGUGAGGUAACGGCCCACCAAGGCGACGAUCAGUAGCCGACCUGAGAGGGUGACCGGCCACAUUGGGACUGAGACACGGCCCAAACUCCUACGGGAGGCAGCAGUGGGGAAUAUUGCACAAUGGGGGAAACCCUGAUGCAGCGACGCCGCGUGAGUGAUGAAGUAUUUCGGUAUGUAAAACUCUAUCAGCAGGGAAGAUAAUGACGGUACCUGACUAAGAAGCACCGGCUAAAUACGUG
rnacentral:rRNA from 1 species